CUUGCUUCUCCGUCUCCCCCCCAGCGCAGCGUCCCCGCCCGCCCGGCCCCCAGGUCGGCGCCACCGCCGCCCGCAUCCCGCGCACCUUCCUCUCCCAUACGUUCUUCCCUCCAGAAUAGACUUGUGGCUGUGUAAGAUUCUGGAAAAGAAAGCAGAGAUUGAAGAUGAUGCUGAUGCUGUAAGACGCACAAGAAGAUGGAGCUGACACGUCCCUCUCUUGUUGGAGCUCCUUGGCAGCCGCGUUUUUCUGUGAAACCGGGGACCAGCUCAUCAGAUCUGACAUAUUCAGUCGCAUUGCUCAUCCAAGUUAAGUCUCUUUUUAACUGAAAGCAACAAACCAACUUUUUACUUUUAAUAAAUAAAACAUUCACAUAUUG